GACGAACGCUGGCGGCGUGCCUAAUACAUGCAAGUAGAACGCACAGUUUAUACCGUAGCUUGCUACACCAUAAACUGUGAGUUGCGAACGGGUGAGUAACGCGUAGGUAACCUGCCUGGUAGCGGGGGAUAACUAUUGGAAACGAUAGCUAAUACCGCAUAAUAUUGAUUAUUGCAUGAUAAUUGAUUGAAAGAUGCUAUUGCAUCACUACCAGAUGGACCUGCGUUGUAUUAGCUAGUAGGUGAGGUAACGGCUCACCUAGGCGACGAUACAUAGCCGACCUGAGAGGGUGAUCGGCCACACUGGGACUGAGACACGGCCCAGACUCCUACGGGAGGCAGCAGUAGGGAAUCUUCGGCAAUGGAAGAAAGUCUGACCGAGCAACGCCGCGUGAGUGAAGAAGGUUUUCGGAUCGUAAAGCUCUGUUGUAAGAGAAGAACGGGUGUGAGAGUGGAAAGUUCACACUGUGACGGUAUCUUACCAGAAAGGGACGGCUAACUACGUG
rnacentral:rRNA from 1 species